UACGGGGGGGGCAAGCGUUGUUCGGAAUUACUGGGCGUAAAGGGCUCGUAGGCGGCCAACUAAGUCAGACGUGAAAUCCCUCGGCUUAACCGGGGAACUGCGUCUGAUACUGGAUGGCUCGAGUUUGGGAGAGGGAUGCGGAAUUCCAGGUGUAGCGGUGAAAUGCGUAGAUAUCUGGAGGAACACCGGUGGCGAAGGCGGCAUCCUGGACCAAUACUGACGCUGAGGAGCGAAAGCCAGGGGAGCAAACGGG
rnacentral:rRNA from 1 species